rnacentral:rRNA from 1 species
AACGUAGGGACCGAGCGUUAUCCGGAUUUACUGGGCGUAAAGCGCGUUCAGGCGGUUUGGCAAGUCGGGCAUGAAAUCUCUCGGCUCAACCGGGAGAGGUUGUCCGAUACUUCCAAACUUGAGGGCAGUAGAGGGUGGUGGAAUUCCGGGUGUAGUGGUGAAAUGCGUAGAUAUCCGGAGGAACACCGAUGGCGAAGGCAAUCCCCUGGGCCUGCACUGACGCUCAUGCACGAAAGCGUGGGGAGCAAACAGG